UCGAGUUUACACUCCCUAACCCAUUGCGAACAUACCUUUUGUUGCUUCGGCGGUGUCGCCCCCGGAAACCCUUCGGGGCGAUGGAUCAGGCGCCCGCCGGAGGACCCAAACCUCUGAAUUUACAUUGUAACUCUGAGUGGCGAAAGCAAAAAAACGAAUCA
rnacentral:misc_RNA from 1 species